rnacentral:tRNA from 1 species
GCCACCUUAGCUCAGUGGUAGAGCUCCCGCCUUGUAAGCGGACGGUCGUGGGUUCGAGUCCCACAGGUGGCUCCA